GAACGGAAGGAUAAAAACCGGAAAGAGUCGGGGAAGGAGGGUACGCGAUCGAUUCGAAUCGAAUUGGAGAAUAUUCUACCAAAUUUUUAUCGUGAUUGGUUUCUAUAUACGAUAGAUCGAAACGAAAAAUUCGAUCUUGAGAUGGAGAAUUCCCUUCUUGAAGAGGAGACCACGAGGCGGCACCGGCGGGGCCGGAGAAGAGGAUCAGAGCGAAGAAUCGCCGUCUGUGAGAAGGAGAGAUAGCUGAAGAAUCAAGACAGAAUCUCCGGUGGAUCGUGCGUUUUUUCGAAGAGAUAGAAAGGAAAGCUUCGGAAAUCGAAAGGAUGUCGGCGACGGUAUGAGCGGGAGGCUGCGGCGGGGGAAGAGAAGAUGGAGGUGUGGAAGCGGCGGUGCGAGUGCUGCGGGCUGACGGAGGAGUGCACGCCGGCGUACAUCGCGCGGGUCGGGAGAUACGCGGGGAGGUGGGUGUGCGGGCUUUGCGGGGAGGCGUGGAGGACGAGAUCGGGCGUCGGGGCGGCAGAUCUCGACGGAGAGGCGAUGACCGGCAAGUGAGCUUCUGCCGGAAUUCCGAGCCGCCGCAGCAUCGCAGUCGACCCGGCGAGCACUUCAUCGCUGCUGUGCGGCAGCUCCUCCGGAGCCUCGACUCCCGCGGGUGUGCGAUCCAGCCCAACAGUCCCCGGAAGGGAGGGGCCGUCGUCGCGCGCCAGCGGUCGGUCCCCACUGGUCCGACCGGGAGCUGCUUCUCGACCUGGCCGGUUGAAGACCGCGAAACAAGCGUUCCAGACCAAAAAAAAAAGGGAAGCCGUCGAGACUGAAAGCGGGCGGUGAUUGGAUUCAAGUGGAAUAAACUCUCAAAUCAGAAAUUUUCUCCAAAACCUCUGGUUAAUUCUACGCUUAAUUAAGGUUAGAAUUUUAGUUUUAAGCUCAGUUUUUUUGGGGGACUCAAAUUCUACUCGUUUCUUUCCUGCAGAGGUUCUUGUAAGAUUUGAUCAAUGGAACAGAAAAUGGAAAAUUCCAUUUUCCAAAUGUUAUAUUUCUGCUCUGGAAAACUAUCAUGGUAAUUUCUGAAC